ACCGGUGAGUCCAGAUUGUACAAUGGUGGGCAGAACAACAACUGCAAUGUCUGAUCCACUUCAAAGUUCAUAGCUUUUUAUAAGAAUAAUGGAAGCAGUCAAUUUUACAAGAGACAAGCUAUACCGAACUUGUCCUCAAUAUAAUGACACAUGCAUGAAGAAAACUUCAUACCUAGCUGACUCAGUAUUAAGAGCUAGCUAGGUAGUGACAUUAUCUAUAAUCUAAAUGGCGUAGACUGUUCACUGGAGUCGCACUGUUCAUUCGCGUGGCCACUGUUCAUUCGAGCCCGAAGUAAAUUACGCUUUUGCCCUUAUUUAUUAUUAUUAUUUUUUUAAAUUUCGGGCUGCCAUCAGUCUGUAAUCUUCUAUGCGUUUCUUCAAUAACCUAUUUGCUCAAUUACGGGCUGCUUAACGGGAAGGAAGUUCGAUUGCUGGUAUCGCCGUCUUAACGCAGUAGAAGACACCGGAGUCUGAGACCUCGAUGAUCGAUUGGACCGGUCUCAAGUAUCGUUCGAAAGCCUUCUUCACUAUUCAUUUUGGGAAACUUUCAAACUUUCGAUUUUGUGAAAUUGAGCUCACUUGAUCAAAUCGGAGGAUCCGAUUGAGCAAUCAGAGAUAUAUGAGAGAUUAAGCUCCAGAGUGAGAGACAGAUAGGGAGGGGACUUUUCUCUGCCAAUCAGAAGAAGAGGAUUUGCUGAGGGAAGGUCUAGAGAGGAGGAAGGGAUGUCUUGGUCGAUUUCAGUCUGUUCCCAAUUUGGGAAUUUCUGUUUCACAUUCAAAGUUUCAAUCUUUAAAGGCAAUGGCAGUCUCCCCAAGCUAAAGACUCCCCCUCUGAGGUAAAUACCCAUUUUCCCCUUUCUUUAUUUACAUCUCAAGGAGCGUAUUGAAAGACGUUUGACAUAUCUCAAAAGCCAAAAAGAGAAACUCGAAUCAAUGUCUGUGUUCAAGGUGUGCGAAGCGUUGGGAAUAGAGAAUUUCACACUAAAUCUCCUCCAAAAGAUAGUCUGUGACUGUCGGCGUUCUGCUCCGGUCAUCCUUGGCCGAGCCCAGGUCUAUUCCUUCCACUUCUGUGUACCUGCCUGUCGAUGUGAGUGAUCGUAUUUUAGCUGAGAAGGUUUCAUAUCUCUUUAGAAAGCCUGAGGUUUCAGAUAUAGUAAUUUUCAAGGCAUCUCCAAUGUUGCAGGUAAUGUUUAUAACAUUUUAUAUAUUAAUAGUGAAUUGCUGUUUGUUGUUUUUAAAAACUUUGUGAUAUGUGGUGUGGACACUUUCUCCUUGGGUAUUCUGUGCUCGGGCGAUGUAUUUAUAAAAAGAAUUGUGGCCAAGGCUGCAGAUUAUGUUCAGAUACAUGAUGAGAAAUUGUUGGUGAAUGGUGAAAUUCAAAAUGAAAAUUACAUAUUGGAGCCUUUUACCUAUGAAAUGGAACCAAUUAAGGCUAUAUCUUUGUGAUGGGGGACAACCGCAACAACAAUUUUGACUCUCAUAACUGGCCGUUCACUACAGUGCACAAAACAAGUCUGUUUCAGAAUUUAAAAGCACAUUACUAAUACAACUCAGAGGUAA